rnacentral:rRNA from 1 species
UACGUAGGGGGCAAGCGUUGUCCGGAAUCAUUGGGCGUAAAGAGCGUGUAGGCGGCCCGAUAAGUCCGCUGUGAAAGUCCGGGGCUCAACCCUGGGAUGCCGGUGGAUACUGUCGGGCUCGAGUCCGGAAGAGGAGUGUGGAAUUCCUGGUGUAGCGGUGAAAUGCGCAGAUAUCAGGAGGAACACCAAUGGCGAAGGCAGCACUCUGGGACGUGACUGGCGCUGAGACGCGAAAGCGUGGGGAGCAAACAGG